rnacentral:rRNA from 1 species
UACGGGGGGGGCAAGCGUUGUUCGGAAUUACUGGGCGUAAAGGGCUUGUAGGCGGCCAACUAAGUCAAACGUGAAAUCCCUCGGCUUAACCGGGGAACUGCGCUUGAUACUGGAUGGCUUGAGAUUGGGAGAGGGAUGCGGAAUUCCAGGUGUAGCGGUGAAAUGCGUAGAUAUCAGGAGGAACACCGGUGGCGAAGGCGCACAUCUGGCCCGAUACUGACGCUGAGGCGCGAAAGCGUGGGGAGCAAACGGG